GAUGCACUGGGCUGUCCACUCUCUGCAGAGUCCUGUGAUUGAGUGAAGUAUAGUUCCCAUACCAGGCAGUGAUGCAGCCAGUUUGGAUGCUCGUGUAGAAAGUUCUUAUGAUUUGGGGGCCCAUACCAAACUUCUUCAAGUGUCUGGGGUGAAAGAGGCGCUGUUGUGCUUUUUUCACCACGUAGCCAGAAUGUACAGACCAUGUGAGAUCCUCGGUGAUGUGGAUGCCAAGGAACUUAAACCUGUUCACCCUCUCAACUCCAGAUUCAUUGAUGUCAAUAGGGGUUAGCCUGUCUCCAUUCCUCCUGCAGUCCACCACCAGUUCCUUUGUUUUUGCGACAUUGAGGGAGAGGUUGCUUUCUUGACACCACUGUGUCAGAGAGAUAACUUCUUUCCUGCAGGCUGCCUGUGAACCUAGGGCUUCUGUACCUCUUGGCUGAUGGUAGCAGUAAGGAGAGAGCAUGGCCUGAAUGGUGGGGGAUCCUUGAUGGUGGAUGCUGCUUUGUUGUGACAGUGCUCCAUGUAGAUGUGCUCAAUUGCUUUGCCUGUGAUGGACAGGGCUGUAUCCUUCACGUAAGGUAGGAAACAUGGCAGCAAAUUCACAGAUAACAAUAAAACAUUAAACAACAAAUGAUAAUGGCUAACUGACAUUGUCUGAUCAUAUAAGUUGAAGUUUAAGUUUUAACUGUGAUACAAAUUGCCACUUUUUUCUUUGAAUCAGAAUCGGAAUCAGGUUUAUUAUGACUGGCACGUGACUUGUAAUUUGUUAACUUGGCAGCAGCAGUUCAAUGGAAUAUAUAAUCUAGCAGAGAGAGAAAAAAAUAAUAAAAUGAAAAUAAUAAUAACAAAUAAAGAAAUAAAUCAAUUACAGUAUAUGUAUAUUGAAUUGAUUAUAAGAAAGUACAAAAACAGAAAUACUGUACAGUAUAUUAAAAAAGUGAGGUAGUGUCCAAUAAUUCAAUGUCCAUUUAGGAAUCAGAUGGCAGAGGGGAAGAAUCUGUUCUUGAAUCGCUGAGUGUGUGCCUUCAGGCUUCAGUACCUCCUGAUGGUAACGGUAAGAAGAAGACAUGCCCUGGGUGCUGGAGGUUCUUAAUAAUGGACGCUGCCUUUCUGAGACUUUCUGUGGGAUAUUGUUGGUAAUACCUGAGCAGGCAGGUGCAGACUCAAAUUUAUCCCUAAUUUGACAGACGGUACCUAUCACUGUACAACACAUUUUCAGAAAAGCACUAGAACACUGGACUAAAUUUAAUAGAAAUCUUCCCACCAUAUUUUGCCACGUAGUGAUGUACCAUGAGCCUGAACCUAAAUAACUUGAUAUAGAAAUGAAAGUUAAAGAAAAAAACAUUGAUGUUAAUUAGAUACUGUAACUUCAACUAUGAAAAGAUAAAAUUACCAUGGUGAUCAUGGAGUUAUUCUUUAUCCAGUAACAGGAUGUGUGCAUACUCAGAAUGACCUGCAUCUUUUCUCAAUGACUAAACAGCCUUUAGGCUAUUUUUGAGGUCAGUUAACAGCCAACCACAUUGAUGAGUUUGGAGUUACUGACAGUUCAAACGAUACUACCUGGCCUGCAUGUCCUCAUAUUUCCAGUCUACAGUUAUUUUGGCCUGGUAUUAAUGACCAAUAUUUGGAUCACCUGAGUGUGAAUAGGGCAACGGUGGAAGCAGUCACUCUGGAUCCACCCAAUGAGGAAGAAGCAGACACUGAUAGUCCUCGAUUUGAUAGAAAAGCAAAAGCAACUGCUGAAAAGUUCAGAAGUAAAUUACAGAAGAAGCUGGAAAUCUGACAAAAAGAAAAUGCUGAACAACAAAAGAAAAUGAUAAAAUAGAAGCAGAUAAAGGCCAUUUGGCCUCUUGUGCUGCUUUGCAUAAGGUCAUGUACCUUGUCAUCAUUUUUCUGCAGCUGUCCUUUGAUUCCCUCAAUAUCCUAAGAUCUAUCAACCACUAUUUUGAAUACACCCAGCUAGUUGGUUUCCACAGCCCCUUGGGUGGUGAAUUCCAAAUGAUUUUCUGCAUCUCUGAAGUUAAAGGUUGGCCACUAAUAUUGUGAAUAAGAAGGGCACUCAACCGAUUAGGCAGUGUUUGAUAAAGAGAAGCAAAAUUAAUGUUGCUCAGGGCUGUAAAAACAAAAUUGCUGGCAUUUUGUGAUUGGAAAAAAAUCCAGCAGUUAAAAUUUAGUCAAAGUUCUAUGCUGCCAUUCUCUAAAUUGAAAGACAUCAUGACAAGUAACAAAGCAGAAAGAAGAAUUUACUCUGCUCAACAUUUGGACAUAUUUUGGUUACCUCAUAUUUUGAACUAUGAAGCUAACAUUGUCUGUGGCAAGAGAUUGAAGUUUUCAUACUGUAGUGAAGUACAAUGAAAGCAUAAUUUUGAACUAAAGUAUGGCUUGGUUUAAUUCUUAUACAUGGAAUGAAAAGCUAGUUUUAUGAAUGUAGUAUUUUAAUUCAGCAUUUGCAAUUCAUUGAUAUCUGAACUAAGUGCUUGGUUG